AUUGAACGCUGGCGGCAUGCCUUACACAUGCAAGUCGAACGGUAACAGGUUAAGCUGACGAGUGGCGAACGGGUGAGUAAUAUAUCGGAACGUGCCCAGUCGUGGGGGAUAACGUAGCGAAAGCUACGCUAAUACUGCAUACGAUCUACGGAUGAAAGCGGGGGAUCGCAAGACCUCGCGCGAUUGGAGAGGCCGAUAUCAGAUUAGGUUGUCGGUGAGGUAAAAGCUCACCAAGCCUGCGAUCUGUAGCUGGUCUGAGAGGACGACCAGCCACACUGGAACUGAGACACGGUCCAGACUCCUACGGGAGGCAGCAGUGGGGAAUUUUGGACAAUGGACGCAAGUCUGAUCCAGCAAUGCCGCGUGCAGGACGAAGGCCUUCGGGUUGUAAACUGCUUUUGUACGGAACGAAACGGUGAGCUCUAAUACAGUUUGCUAAUGACGGUACCGUAAGAAUAAGCACCGGCUAACUACGUGCCAGCCGCCGCGGUAA
rnacentral:rRNA from 1 species